rnacentral:rRNA from 1 species
UACGUAGGGGGCGAGCGUUGUCCGGAAUUAUUGGGCGUAAAGGGCGCGUAGGCGGCCAUGCGUGUCUUCCGUGAAAUCCCUCGGCUUAACUGAGGACGUGCGGAAGAAACUGCAAGGCUCGAGUCCGGGAGAGGGGGGUGGAAUUCCCAGUGUAGCGGUGAAAUGCGUAGAUAUUGGGAGGAACACCGGUGGCGAAGGCGGCCCCCUGGACCGGUACUGACGCUGAGGCGCGAAAGCGUGGGUAGCAAACGGG